rnacentral:rRNA from 1 species
UACAGAGGGGGCAAGCGUUGUUCGGAAUUACUGGGCGUAAAGGGCGCGUAGGCGGCCUGUUAAGUCGAACGUGAAAUCCCUGGGCUCAACCCAGGAACUGCGUCCGAGACUGGCAGGCUUGAAUCCGGGAGAGGGAUGUGGAAUUCCAGGUGUAGCGGUGAAAUGCGUAGAUAUCUGGAGGAACACCGGUGGCGAAGGCGGCAUCCUGGACCGGUAUUGACGCUGAGGCGCGAAAGCCAGGGGAGCAAACGGG